UGUUAGAUUGUGUAAUGGGUAACACCCCUGCUAUAUAUGCAGUAGCCCUGGGUUCAAUUCCCAGUCUGGCCA